rnacentral:rRNA from 1 species
UCAUGUCGGGGACUCUAGGGAGACUGCCGGUGUUAAACCGGAGGAAGGUGGGGAUGACGUCAAGUCCUCAUGGCCUUUAUGAUCAGGGCUGCACACGUCCUACAAUGGCGCGUACAAAGGGAAGCGAACUCGCGAGAGCAAGCAAAUCCCAAAAAGUGCGCCUUAGUUCGGAUUGCAGGCUGAAACCCGCCUGCAUGAAGUUGGAAUCGCUAGUAAUCGCGGGUCAGCAUACCGCGGUGAAUGUGUUCCUGAGCCUUGUACACACCGCCCGUCAAGCCACGAAAGUGGGGGGCACCCGAAGUCGUUGCGCUAUAAUGGCAGACGCCGAAGGUGAACUCCGCGAUUGGGACUAAGUCGUAACAAGGUAGCCGUAGGGGAACCUGCGGCUGGAUCACCUCCUUUCUAA